UGCGAUUGGCUGGCAACCAGUUCAGGGUGUCCGCCGCCUCCUGCCCGUUGACAGCUGGGAUAGGCUGCGGCACUCCCUGCGACCCUCGUGAGGAUAAGCGGCAAAGAAAAUGGAGUGCUCGGUCCCUAAGCCAAACAUUGUUGUCAUCAUCCUCCAAUUACCGAACCGUCUUACGACAUUUUGGAUCAUCGCUGAGCGAUUGUGGCUCGGUCGCCGCCUCCCGGUCGGGAGGGUUCAGCGUUUCGAUCUGAGCUCCGAGGCCUUGCUCCCACAUUUGAAAAGCGCACUUUGCAGGUGUGAUUGUGAGUGCGGCUGUUUGUCUCGAUGUUUGUCCUGCAGUUGGCUGGUGACCAGUUCAGGGCGUACAACGCCUCCUGCCCGUUGACAGCUGGGAUAGGCUCCAGGACUAGCGCG